rnacentral:rRNA from 1 species
UACGUAGGGUCCGAGCGUUGUCCGGAAUUAUUGGGCGUAAAGGGCUCGUAGGCGGUCUGUUGCGUCGGGAGUGAAAACUUACAGCUUAACUGUGAACUUGCUUUCGAUACGGGCAGACUUGAGGCAUUCAGGGGAGAACGGAAUUCCUGGUGUAGCGGUGAAAUGCGCAGAUAUCAGGAGGAACACCGGUGGCGAAGGCGGUUCUCUGGGACGGUACUGACGCUGAGACGCGAAAGCGUGGGGAGCGAACAGG